rnacentral:rRNA from 1 species
CCUACGGGGGGCAGCAGUGGGGAAUAUUGGGCAAUGGGCGCAAGCCUGACCCAGCAACGCCGCGUGAAGGAAGAAGGCGUGCGGGUGGUAAACUUCUUUUGUCAGGGACGAAGCAAGUGACGGUACCUGACGAAUAAGCCACGGCUAACUACGGGCCAGCAGCCGCGGUAAUACGUAGGUGGCAAGCGUUAUCCGGAUUUACUGGGUGUAAAGGGCGUGUAGGCGGGGAGGCAAGUCAGAUGUGAAAACCACGGGCUCAACCGGUGGCCUGCAUUUGAAACUGUUUUUCUUGAGUGCUGGAGCGGCAAUCGGAAUUCCGUGUGUAGCGGUGACAUGCGUCGAUCUCCGGAGG